rnacentral:rRNA from 1 species
AUUGAACGCUGGCGGCAUGCUUUACACAUGCAAGUCGAACGGUAACAGGCCGCAAGGUGCUGACGAGUGGCGAACGGGUGAGUAAUGCAUUGGAACGUGCCCAGUCGUUGGGGAUAACGCAGCGAAAGCUGCGCUAAUACCGCAUACGAUCUAGGGAUUAAAGCGGGGGACCGUAAGGCCUCGCCCGAUUGGAGCGGCCGGAGUAGGGUUAGGUAGUUGGUGGGGUAAAGGCGCACCAAGCCAACGAUCUGUAGCUGGUCGGAGAGGAGGACCAGCCACAAUGGGACUGAGACACGGCCCAGACGCCUACGGGAGGCAGCAGUGGGGAAUUUUGGACAAUGGGCCCAAGCCUGAUCCAGCAAUGCCGCGUGCAGGAAGAAGGCCGUCGGGUUGUAACCUGCUUUUGUACGGAACGAAACGGUCCUGGUUAAUACCCGGGGCUAAUGACGGUACCGUAAGAAUAAGCACCGGCUAACUACGUGCCAGCAGCCGCCGUAA